rnacentral:tmRNA from 1 species
GGGGGCGACACGGCUUCGACGGGGGUCAUGGAACCGCAGGAUGCAUGCCGAGCACCAUCGACUCGUUAAUCCGAUGGAAAACCAAGUAACUGCGGACACGCAGCUUCCUCUCGCUGCCUAAUCAGGCGGCGCGCCUGUCCUGACCACGCCCGCGGGCCGGGAGUCAGGUGUCAUACAGUGGGCUGGUCGUAGCGCGCGGCACCGACACGCCACGACGAGAUCAAUCGGGGCUCGGCUUCCGGCGGUUUCCGCCGCCCUUCGACGCCGGAAGCGACACAAUCAAGGGCGGAUACGCAUGUAGAUUCCUCCGGCGCUGGACCUUCGGACGCGGGUUCGACUCCCGCCGCCUCCACCA